GACGGUAGGGUGCGAGCGUUGUCCGGAUUUAUUGGGCGUAAAGAGCUCGUAGGCGGCUCGUCGCGUCGACCGUGAAAACCCGCGGCUUAACUGCGGGCUUGCGGUUGAUACGGGCGGGCUAGAGUUCGGUAGGGGAGACUGGAAUUCCUGGUGUAGCGGUGAAAUGCGCAGAUAUCAGGAGGAACACCGGUGGCGAAGGCGGGUCUCUGGGCAGUAACUGACGCUGAGGCACGAAGGCCAGGGGAGCAAACGGG
rnacentral:rRNA from 1 species